rnacentral:lncRNA from 1 species
AAAAAUUGUUUGUUUGGCAUUGCCGACUCACACCAUCAGCAGGUGGGUAGGUAGGUAGGGAUUUUUUUUUUUUUUUUUACAUCAUUAAAAACUUUAUAUAUCACAACCAUGAUGACUCUAGAUCACAGCCAAAAGCAGUGCAGCAUUGUUGUGUGUACAAACUUAUGGUUUCUUUGAUAGGGGUUAAUGUCACAUUCUACAACACAUGGAUAAUUUCAUGUCAAACAUUCAGUUUUUUUUGGAGGAGUAAACCAAAGUACCCAGCAGAAACAUAUCUGUGGUAGGGAACGCACAUUAACCAUGUAACAUGUUAGACAUGAAAAUUGAAUCUUAAUUGUGGGACUGUCCAUUGAAUAGAGGCUUAAUGUCACAUCUUGAAAUUGCCUUCAGUUUGGUAAACUUAUCAUAUUUUAAUCAGUUCGACCA